rnacentral:rRNA from 1 species
UACGAGGGGUGCAAGCGUUGCUCGGAAUUAUUGGGCGUAAAGGGUAGGUAGGUGGUCUCAUUUGUCUGGGGUGAAAGCCUUGAGCUUAACUCAAGAAGUGCCCCGGAAACGGUGAGACUGGAGUCUUGGAGAGGGUCGUGGAAUUCCCGGUGUAGCGGUGAAAUGCGUAGAGAUCGGGAGGAACACCAGAGGCGAAGGCGGCGACCUGGACAAGCACUGACACUCAACUACGAAAGCGUGGGGAGCAAACAGG